rnacentral:rRNA from 1 species
UACAGAGGGUGCAAGCGUUGCUCGGAAUCACUGGGCGUAAAGCGCACGUAGGCGGAUCUUUAAGUCAGGGGUGAAAUCCCAAGGCUCAACCUUGGAACUGCCUUUGAUACUGGGGAUCUCGAGUCCGGAAGAGGUGAGUGGAACUGCGAGUGUAGAGGUGAAAUUCGUAGAUAUUCGCAAGAACACCAGUGGCGAAGGCGGCUCACUGGUCCGGUACUGACGCUGAGGUGCGAAAGCGUGGGGAGCAAACAGG